GCCGAGCCUUGUAACGUGGGCUUGUAACCUAAGUUGGGGCAACAACGUAGUGGGAUGUUAGGCUGUUCCAGAUGGCUGGACUUUGGUUGGCAUUAGUCUGGCUUGCCCUAUCCAAGCACGGAGUUGAGUCACGUGGUCCAAACGAAAGUAUGGGCUGCUUGGCUCUUAGAGUGGGGUGGACUGCGUGAGGCUGGUUUCACAGAGCAACGAAUAACUCCCAGUCUGUGCAGUGGAAGGAUAACGAGUCAGUGCUUUCCAAGUUCAACAAAAACCUGAUGGACUACCUAAUUAAACCACCACUUU
rnacentral:SRP_RNA from 1 species